GCGUCGGUGGUUCAGUGGUAGAAUACUCGCCUGCCACGCGGGUGGCCCGGCUUCGAUUCCCGGCCGACGCA
rnacentral:tRNA from 1 species